rnacentral:rRNA from 1 species
GACGAACGCUGGCGGCGUGCUUAACACAUGCAAGUCGAACGGAAAGACCCUGCUUUUGUGGGUUGCUCGAGUGGCGAACGGGUGAGUAACACGUGAGUAACCUGCCCUUGACUUUGGGAUAACUUCAGGAAACUGGGGCUAAUACCGGAUAGGAGCUCCUGCUGCAUGGUGGGGGUUGGAAAGUUUCGGCGGUUGGGGAUGGACUCGCGGCUUAUCAGCUUGUUGGUGGGGUAGUGGCUUACCAAGGCUUUGACGGGUAGCCGGCCUGAGAGGGUGACCGGCCACAUUGGGACUGAGAUACGGCCCAGACUCCUACGGGAGGCAGCAGUGGGGAAUAUUGCACAAUGGGCGGAAGCCUGAUGCAGCAACGCCGCGUGCGGGAUGACGGCCUUCGGGUUGUAAACCGCUUUCGCCUGUGACGAAGCGUGAGUGACGGUAAUGGGUAAAGAAGCACCGGCUAACUACGUG